UAGGGAAUCUUCCGCAAUGGGCGAAAGCCUGACGGAGCAACGCCGCGUGAGUGAUGAAGGUCUUCGGAUCGUAAAACUCUGUUAUUAGGGAAGAACAAAUGUGUAAGUAACUAUGCACGUCUUGACGGUACCUAAUCAGAAAGCCACGGCUAACUACGUGCCAGCAGCCGCGGUAAUACGUAGGUGGCAAGCGUUAUCCGGAAUUAUUGGGCGUAAAGCGCGCGUAGGCGGUUUUUUAAGUCUGAUGUGAAAGCCCACGGCUCAACCGUGGAGGGUCAUUGGAAACUGGAAAACUUGAGUGCAGAAGAGGAAAGUGGAAUUACAUGUGUAGCGGUGAAAUGCGCAGAGAUAUGGAGGAACACCAGUGGCGAAGGCGACUUUCUUGUCUGUAACUGACGCUGAUGUGCGAAAGCGUGGGGAUCAAACAGG
rnacentral:rRNA from 1 species